rnacentral:rRNA from 1 species
CUUCCUACGGGGCGCAGCAGUGGGGAAUAUUGCACAAUGGGGGAAACCCUGAUGCAGCAACGCCGCGUGAGUGAAGAAGUAUCUCGGUAUGUAAAGCUCUAUCAGCAGGGAAGAAAAUGACGGUACCUGACUAAGAAGCCCCGGCUAACUACGUGCCAGCAGCCGCGGUAAUACGUAGGGGGCAAGCGUUAUCCGGAUUUAUUGGGUUUAAAGGGUGCGUAGGCGGAAUGCCAAGUCAGCGGUAAAAUCGCGGGGCUCAACCUCGCUCCGCCGUUGAAACUGGCGAUCUUGAGUGGGCGGUAAGU